rnacentral:rRNA from 1 species
UACGUAGGGGCUAGCGUUGUCCGGAUUUAUUGGGCGUAAAGAGCGUGUAGGCGGCCAGGUAGGUCUGGUGUGAAAACUCGAGGCUUAACCUUGAGAUGUCAUCGGAAACCAUUUGGCUAGAGUCCGGAAGAGGAAAGUGGAAUUCCUGGUGUAGCGGUGAAAUGCGCAGAUAUCAGGAAGAACACCAGUGGCGAAGGCGGCUCACUGGCCCACUUACUGACGCUGAGGCGCGAAGGCGUGGGGAGCGAACGGG